ACACUGAAGGGCGUGUCCCUGGACAGGGACUCGAGGGUAGAGGAGAAGACUCUGGAGUGGGCGUGUGACUUCCUGGGAGGGAAGGAUGCGCAGAAUUUGGGGUGGUUAGAUUGUGGAAGAUUGCGACCCCCCGGCCCGGACAGGGUGAAUUUAGAGGUCGAAAGACGACCUUCCUCUUCACCAUCUUUCUGACCUCCGAUUGGAGUUCCUCUGGCCGCUUCACCGCAGGCUCUGGCUUCCUUUUCUCCAGUUCCUUCUACAGCUGGAAUGCAAGAUCCUGAGUGGAGUCCAGGUGGUGGGUCUGGGAGCCUCCAGAGAGUCAUGGCCAGUCAGGAUGGCUGCCGUCCCCGUGCUUCUGGAGAGGGGCUUAGCCAAGAGGAAGCCACCCCAAAGGCUGAUCUCCUGACAGUUGAGCCGGUCCCCUGACAUGUGGCAUGCUGCAGAGCCUCGGAGGAAAGAGACAGCAACACUGACGAAUGAGCCCAGUCUUCUGCAGGCGUUUUCUCAUCUGGGGGUCCCUCCUCUCAGAUGACUCUAGCUUGUGUGAAGUUGACACAAAUCUAGCCAGCGGACUGCAUGAAACUCGGAGACUGGUCUUGGUGAGGAAACCAAAGGAGCUGACUCAGAAAGUCAACGGGAACCAAGAUACCCUGCGCAGCAGAGAAUUCAAAGUAUAUCAGGCUCAUGCUGGAAGAAGGCUCGGCAGUUAAGAGCAUAUACUGAGUCCAGAGGACCUGAGUCCACUUGCCAGCAAUCACACCAGGUGUCUAUAACUCUAGGUCCAGGCCAGAGCUCUGCAGCACCUACAACCAUGUGCGCACACACUUACAUAUAACUAAGACUAAUAAAAAUGAACGUUUUUAAAAAA
rnacentral:lncRNA from 1 species